UCCUGGGGUACAUCAACUCAUCUAGAUAUUUGCCUAGUUUUACAACAAGCUACAUAAAAAGCACUAGCAAAGUCAGGUACAAACCAAAAUUUCAUACAGACAAUGACUUGUUUGUACUGCUCAAUAUACCGUACACUGAAAUGUAGAUGCAAAUCCUAGAA